UACAGGUGCUGCAUGGCUGCCGUCAGCUCGUGUCGUGAGAUGUUGGGUUAAGUCCCGCAACGAGCGCAACCCCUGUUGUUAGUUGCCAGCGGGUAAUGCCGGGGACUCUAACAAGACUGCUGGUGAUAAACCGGAGGAAGGAGGGGAUGACGUCAAGUCAUCAUGUCCCUUAUGUCCAGGGCGACACACAUGCUACAAUGGGAGGUACAAAGGGCUGCUAAACCGUAAGGUCAUGCCAAUCCCAGAAAAUCUUUCUCAGUUCGGAUAGCAGUCUGCAACUCGACUGCUUGAAGCUGGAAUCGCUAGUAAUCGCGGAUCAGCACGCCGCGGUGAAUACGUUCCCGGGCCUUGUACACACCGCCCGUCACUUCCAC
rnacentral:rRNA from 1 species